rnacentral:tRNA from 1 species
GCCUCAUUGGCUCAGGGGCAGAGCGUCUGUCUAGUAAACAGAAGGUCGCUGGUGCGAUUCCAGUAUGAGGCA